CGCGUAGGUGGUUGCGUAAGUAACGUGUGAAAUCCCUCGGCUUACCCGGGGAAUUGCAUGUUAUACUGCGUGGCUUGAGGAUCAGAGGGGAAUGGGGAACUCCAGGUGUAGCGGUGAAAUGCGCAGAUAUCUGGGGGAAGGCCGGCGGCGAAGGCGCCAUUCUGGCUGAUUCCUGACACUGAGGCGCGAAAGCGUGGGGAGCAAACA
rnacentral:rRNA from 1 species